rnacentral:rRNA from 1 species
UACAGAGGGUGCAAGCGUUGUUCGGAAUUAUUUGGGCGUAAAGAGCUCGUAGGUGGUUUGUCGCGUCUGCCGUGAAAGCCCGGGGCUUAACUCCGGGUCUGCGGUGGAUACGGGCAGACUAGAGGCAGGUAGGGGAGAACGGAAUUCCCGGUGUAGCGGUGAAAUGCGCAGAUAUCGGGAGGAACACCGAUGGCGAAGGCAGCACUCUGGGCCGGCACUGACGCUGAGGAGCGAAAGCGUGGGGAGCGAACAGG